CCUACGGGAGGCAGCAGUGGGGAAUUUUGGACAAUGGGCGAAAGCCUGAUCCAGCCAUUCCGCGUGCAGGAUGAAGGCCCUCGGGUUGUAAACUGCUUUUGUACAGAACGAAAAGGUUUCUACUAAUACUAGGAGCUCAUGACGGUACUGUAAGAAUAAGCACCGGCUAACUACGUGCCAGCAGCCGCGGUAAUACGUAGGGUGCAAGCGUUAAUCGGAAUUACUGGGCGUAAAGCGUGCGCAGGCGGUUAUAUAAGUCAGAUGUGAAAUCCCCGGGCUCAACCUGGGAACUGCAUUUGAGACUGUAUAGCUAGAGUGCGGUAGAGGGGGAUGGAAUUCCGCGUGUAGCAGUGAAAUGCGUAGAUAUGCGGAGGAACACCGAUGGCGAAGGCAAUCCCCUGGACCUGUACUGACGCUCAUGCACGAAAGCGUGGGGAGCAAACAGGAUUAGAUACCCUGGUAGUCCACGCCCUAAACGAUGUCAACUGGUUGUUGGGUCUUAACUGACUCAGUAACGAAGCUAACGCGUGAAGUUGACCGCCUGGGGAGUACGGCCGCAAGGUUGAAACGUUAAAGNGAAAUUGACGG
rnacentral:rRNA from 1 species